AUUUGAUGCUGCAGCACGUUCCUCAAAAGUGGAGACAGGGUCAACAAAAGACUGAGAAAAAUGAGGACUACUCCAAAAAUAGGAGACCUGUCUACUAGUGGAUCAUUCCACAGGUGAGUGUCAUGAUCAGGUAUAAAAGGAGCUUCCCUGAAAGGCUUAAUUCUUCACAAGCAAGGAUUGAGACAGGUUCACCUUUUUGUCAACAACUGCAUGAACAGAAAGUCCAACAGUUGAAGAACAAUGUUUGUGAAUUUAGUGAUUUGAUCAUCUACAGUCCAUAAAAUCGUCAAAGAAGAGAAAUCUCUGCAUGAAAGCAGCAAGGCCCAAAACCACCAUUGCUCAUGAACUUUGACCUCUCAGAUGACACUAUUUUAAAAACCUGCAUAAUUCUGUAGAGGAUAUUACCAUAUGGGCUCAGGAACAACUUUAGAAAACCAUUGCCAGGUAACAUAGUUUGUCUCUACAUCGACAAGUUCAAACUUUAUCAUGUAAAGACGAAGACCGAUAUCAACAACAACCAGAAACAGCUCUAAUUGGACCUGAGCUCAUCUGAGAUAGACUGACCCAAAGUAGAAAAGUCUGCUGAAGUUUUUGAAAAUCAUGGGUGUGGUUUCCUCCGAGCUACAGAGGACAAGGCCCAUUCAGACUGUUAUCAAGUCAAAGUUCAAAUCCAGCAUCUGUGAUGGUCUGGGAGUAUGUUAGUGCCCAUUAAUGCUGAAUGGGACAUACAGGUUUAUUAGCAACAUAUGCUCCAGACCGGUCUCCUAUUGAAAAUGUUUUGCUCUGUAAUAAGGACAUAAAACCAUAAGGACUGUUGAACAACUAAGGAGGUCCAUCAAGCAAGAAUAUGAAAGAAUUCACCUCCAAAGCUUCAACAGUUUGUGUCUUCAGUCCACAAAGACUUACUGAGUGUUGUUGAAAGGAAAAGUGAUUGUUAGUCUGCUAAUGUUUAUAAUGAAAUUUAAUCAUGGAGGUUGGCGACACUGAACUCGCUCUUAUAUUUGACCAAUCGUACAUUCACAUCUGGACCAAUCACUGUGCACUGGAGUCAGUCAAAGUCCAUCUUGUGCUGGUGGAGUAACUACUGUGGUUACAUUAAACAGGGUUCUAAGAAUUCCUGUGUUCCUGCAGCAAAAUUAACAAGUUCCUUGAACUAUAAAAAAGUUCCUGUUGUCUGAGAGUGCCUAGUGAGACUACAUGGCCGAGCUCAGCGUGUGACUCCAGGACCCUCAUUUGCUUUAGUACACCUAUAGAGAUCAUCCUUUUUUCAAGGAUGUCUGUUUCAUGGCCCAUCAAUAACUUCUCAGAGAAGCUUUGAAAAGUAUGUUUUGUUGUAAUUUGCCUUUUUGGACAUGUGGUUAUCAAGUCCUCUAGUGGUCUGCAUUUGGGUCCUCUUCCUUGUUUCAUUAAACAAGUGACUUUGUUUAAAGUUUUGUAAAAUUAUUCAUAAAGCUCCAUUUGUUCUAAUGUGGAAAACCACAGCACUCUGGCUCUCUUCUCUCUUUAUUGGGAGAUUGAGGUUCAGCCAGGCUUUUUCAGGUGAACAUGGAUUUCAUUAGCACUAUUGAUGGAAUAUAUAUAAUGCUUUAGUUGUUUGGUAAAUGAAACCACUUGCAGAGCUUUCCACCUGAGUCUUUAACUAAAAGUUGUCUUUACCCAAAACCGCUAUAACACAUAAAAAUUUCCACAUGUACCCCAACAUAGAAACCUGAAUGCAAACAUAAUACAUAUAGGGUUGAAACUCUCUUUUCAGGGCUCGCCAUUGGGCUCUAUUGUUCAUUUGAAAAGCUCUUGGAAAUAUUAGCUCUGGGUUUUCUUUUUUACUGCAAACUGUUACUUGUCUGUCUUUGUAAAGUUAUAUGAAAUACAGAACAAAAGACGAGCAGAUAAAUCUAUUUCAACAUUAGUUUUAAAGAAAGUCUGACAUAUUUCAGGCUGAUAUCUGCUGGUCUCUGUCCUAUCCUCCUUCCUCUCUCUGUCCUUGUCUCAGUCUGACCUCAUCAGGACGUAAACGGCUGACUAAUGUGUCCUUGAAGGUACCCGUCUCUUCUGUAGAGAUCAUAUAAUAAUAAUAACCAUCUCUACAAUCCGAGGUUAUUAUUUCUCUGAGCCUGAGGGCAGCUUUUCCAAGAACCCUCUCUGGGUAUACAUUAGCAUUAAACCCACUAACAGCAGCCUCUGGCUUUCUAUAAGACCAGGCUGUAAGCUGCAGGAGCCAUAAAUAAUGGAGUCUCUCAGGCUGCUGUGUUUCUGCUGUUUUUUUAUUAUUGCUGAGCAUUUGAGGAAUUUACACUUAAACUGCCUUACAGUGAACAAUGAGUGGAAUGAAUACCAAGUAUGAAUGUUCAAAAGCUGCUUAUUGUGGUGGAUAGAUUAGAUUUCAUGCUCUUCAUUCAUCACAGGUUCAAUGAACAUCCAGAACAUGAUAAAUCAGUGACAGUAUUGUAACAUUGACAGCAUGCUGCAUUAUAACUAACCCUUACAAGUCAUCUACAGAAAUACUGCACCAGCGCCUGAAUGUGUUCUUCCUUUUUUUAUUUUUCUUAUUAUGAAAUCAGUCCUCCAGAGAUGUGAAGGACUAUUCUUAUAUUUGAGGAAACCUGAACAACAUUUGAGAUGUUUUGCUGGUCAAACCUUCAUUAUCCCAAACCGUGAAUGUAGGAGCGUGAGUUUUUGUUAGGUUUGCUUUUAUUUUACAGAAAAUGUUUUGACAAUUGCUUGUGAAAAAUCUGUCUUUUGUACUUUAACUGUUACAUCAGUUUGUGGUGCACUCACAUGGGGUUGUGUUUACAAAAGUGUCCAAAAGAAGAAACCAUAUGAUUGCUGUGACGGAGCGCCUGCACCUGUUUCCCGUGGUCCUGCAUGCCAGCAUUUUUACCUGAACGCUUUUCUUCCCAUUGUAGGUGUUUGAGGGUGCACACUCAACAACUACACACACACACACACACACACACACACACACACCAUGGCAUUCUUUCCAACUCCUCCCAGUUGUUGUUUGUCCCCUUCUCCAGUAAGAUAAAUAUCUGCUCCUCACACUAGCAAUAUUUAGAACUGAAGAAGCUUCUUGGAUAAGAGGAGAAAUGUCUUCUCAAUUCUACACAGUCUAGUUGCCUGUUUUAGGAGUCUUCAAGAAUAUCUUGGCCAUAAGUUUCCACAAGUUACCGUAAUAUUUGUGGCAAACCUGAAAACAACACAAUCAGACAAAUUUAGGAAAGGGCAGACAAUCAACUCAAUGACCACUCCAUCCUCCAUUUCUUCUUCCAUCAACUUCUAUUUACGAUUUAUACUUUUAUACUAAGAACUCACAAUAUUACGUAUGCAGACUUUUUACAAAGUAACAAUAAUAUAAUUAACACAUAGCACUACAUCCUGCCAAACCACAGCCAUUUAUCCAAAACAAAGAACACCAACCAAUGAAGGAGCCUGAGAAGAGGCAGUUGCUAUAGAAACGUCUAUUCAGGUGAACUGUUACUUAUUUUUUUUUUAUUCUGUUGUAUAAUCAAUAUUUAGAGUAAAUUUGUUUAAGUUUGUGGUAGCUGAGUGUAAUGUGUAUAGGUGAUUCAAGCUCAACUUUUUGGGUUCUUAGUUUACAUAUAUACCUGUUUACUAUGUAUUCCACUCUUAUUUUACUAAAUCUUUGGAGAUGAAUGGAGUUUCAGGAGUAAGUUUGAUUGGUAAAAACAGGCUCUACUGAGCUGCAGCAGAAAAAGAAAUAUGAUGGAUGUUUUUUAAUGAUAAUAAAAAUUGACUAAUGAAUAAAACAUGAGCUUAAGCAAAAGGAAAUAAUCUCAGUCUGCUAUUUGCAUCUGAUUUGAACAUUUGACAGCAUGUUUGACCUCUGUUUGUCUGAUCAAAUUAGCAGAGCUACAAAACGAGAACAUCCACAGAACAUAAUCUUUAUCUGCUACAGAAUACUCCAUCUAAUAUUCCGUGUCAAAAUAACUCAGAUAGUGAGAACAGUGCAGACAGGGUGAAGUCUGGCAACCAGAAUGAUGGUAUUGCAAUAGCCAAAAUAACUCCAAACUGGUAAACCUGAACUGAAAACAAGAGCAUUCAUAACUCCACAAUAAAGAACAGUUAUUCUUUUCCUUUUUUUUAAGGCUGUUUUCAAUCAAGUUUUAAAAACCUUGUGUUCACCGACAUAUGUGGUAUAUUGUGAUUUGGAAUAGUAACCCUGACUGGAUCCUUUCCUUUGUCCUGCUAAAGACAGAAAUGUUUCAAAUGGAUUGAUUUCAUUUGUAAAAUUCAACUAAGGUCAGACGGCAUGUGAGGAUUUAACUGAGUUUUAAAACACUGAAAGACUCAGCGAGCUCCUCAAGAAUCAAACCCACUCUGUCUUUGUGCUGUAGGUCUAAAUGUUCAUGUCUGCUGUAUCAGAUUGACCAUGAGAGAGUGAAUUUCAGAUACCCUUUUUUCUUUUUUAAUAAGAAAAGAGAUAGAAACAGAUAAGAUGCUUUAAAUCCGAAGCUGAACUCUGACAGAGCAGUUUCUUUUCUUGUCAGUUUGGAUCAAAAAGAUUCAUUUUCCUGCUUAUUUCAGCCUCAGACACGAGUUGUAAUCUCUUAUUCAGAUAAGAAAUUUGACUCAACUUUCUUUUCCUUAUCCACAAAAAAAUAACAAAACUACCCUGGAGGAGGAAAUAUUGUCAGACAAAAACAGCAUGGUGUAUUGUUUUGUUUUCCUUAUAUUUCAUCCUCCUCAGAUUUCAGACUUUCUGCAGAGUGUUUGUUUAUUGUGACAGUCCUUAUCUUCCACGAGCAGAGUUUCUUAUCUUCACUUUUUCUGUUUCCAUUUCAGACUUUUAUUUCCUAAUGUUAAAAAGAAGACGGACACAAACAGGCCCUUAUCAAUUCAGAGUUGGGUAGGAACAGGGAUACAAGUAAUAACAAGUAUCACAAGUAUUAAUGCAUUUCUAAUAAUGAUAGUAAUAGUAGUAAUAAAUAGAUUUUAUAUAGCGCCUUUACAAAGUGAAAUGAUAAGCUAAUUUCUCAGAAGCUUGGAGGUAGCAUCACUUUAAAUGCUGAGUUGGAUGGUAUCAGUGUCUUAUGGAUGGAUUGCUGAUGCUUUCCCUGCCUCCACCCAAACUUAUUGUUUUUAAGCUGUGUCUAAUUUUACCAGUCUUGAAUGCUGCGCUGAUGCUGCUCUGUUCAAUAUUCUGAGGGUCUUUGCUGCUGCUCUGCCUGCCUCCACUCCAGCUCUGUUUUUCUAUGCUCUGUCUGAUUUUGAUAGUGUCAUGUGGAUGGCCACUGAUGCUUGAUCUGACCUGUACCUGGAAGUCUUCAUUGCUGUUCCCCCUUCACUUUGCCUUUCCACAUGAAAUAAAGGUUAGGCGUGCUCCCUCUGCUUCAGGCUUUAUUUACAUACUGCAUAAAAAUAAUGAAUGUCCUCUGCUCAGACUGGUCCUGACCAGACUUAUCUUAUGCAGUACAUAUUUAGGGUUACAUUUCAAACACCACAUCAUAUAGUCUAACACAGCUGUUGUCUUAGGAACUUUGGUCAUUGCCAAAAUGUUAAAAACAAGCCUUUGCUGCUAUGUUUGGUGCAGGGGCUGAGACGAUGUUGUUGCUGCAUUAAAGGGAUAUUCCAGUGUAAAAUUAAGCUAUGGUCAAACACACUGCAACAACAAGUUAGACACCCCCUUGAGACAUGAAUGUUGCCGAAUGCUUGCCUCUUUAGUUCCACCAACUUCAGCAACGACCGCACAAUAGCAAUACACAGCGGUCUAUGUCUCCAUGCGCAAAGCUCAACCAAAAAGCCACUCUAUAGCCCUGUAUCUUUUGAGCUCUGCCUGGUUUCUUUAGCAAAGAGACUAAACACAACUUACCCACUCUCUUCCAGCAGCACUUGUUUUUGUGGAAGCCCUGAUGAGUCAUUCACUGAGUGCAGAAGAGUUUCGCAGUUCAAGGGAGAAUAUUUAUGAUCAUUACUUCAUGGAAAUGCAAUCAGACCGACACACUAAGGUAAAGGAACUACAGGGUCUGCAGUGCAAAAUGAUUAUUAUGAUGAUUAUUACUUCAAGGAAAUGAUCUGCUGCACUCGGUGAGCAACUCAUCAGGGUUCCCCAACGAACAAGCGGCUGCUGGAGGAGAGUGGGUGAGUUGUGUUUAGUCUCUUUGCCAAAGAAACCAGGCCAAGCUAAAAAUAUGUUUGAUGGCUAGUACUGUGGCUGAGACCCUAUAUGUACUGUUGAUGAAGUUCUGAGCAUUAUUUGUGGCUAUAGAGUGGCUUUUUGGUUGAGGUUUGUGCGUGGAGAUGUAGACAACUGUGUAUUGCUAUUGUGCGGUUGUCGCUGAAAUUGGCGGAACAAGGGAAGCAAGCAGUCGGCAACAGUCGCAUCUCAAGGGGGUGUCUAACCUGUUGUUACACUGUGUUUGACCAUAACUUACACCAGAAUAUCUGUUCAAGUUUGUGUGCAUUUAUCUGCAACACUGCCAUGUGUCGUGAAUGAGUGUGUGACUAACAGCCAACACUAGGAGUUGACAAUCUCUGGAGUUGGCCAGGCUAACAGCAAUGAAGUGGAUUUCCUGUAGUUAGGCAGACUACGUCCAAAGACACGGAAAUGAUAGGAGGAGUUACAGCAGGCAGAAGUGAGUUGAUGGUUAAGUAUUAUAUAUUAUUGUUUGAGUUUUUUUAUUUUACAUGAAAGCUGUGACAAAAACUCUUUCUGUAAGAGACCAGUGAGUUAUAUUUCAGCUCCACACAUAGUCAGUGUCUCCUGUUUCCUCUGCUCGGAGCUCUGAGAUGUUUUAUCAGCCAUUAAAUUUUUUUUUUUUUUUUUUUACUGAGACUAAAAACAAAAGAAGCCGUCUCCCUGCCUGCCUCCUUUAAUUCACACAGCUACAAACUGGAGGGGAGAGACAGAGUUAGUGUUGGAGAAAUGGCUGUGGAGGAAGAAGGCGAACAAACAGGCGAUAACAAUGAGACAGAGAGCGACAGGGAGACGCUUCUGGGGGAGAAGAAACGAGGAAAACAAGAGGAGGAGGAGGAGGAGGGGGAGGAAGAAUAGAAGAAAGAGAAAGAGAGUUAAGCCAGAUUGAGAGUGUCUGCCUGGGGUGGUACUAGUCACCCUGAAUUAUAAAUGGUCUCUCACUUUCUGAGCCAAAACACACAACCACAAUAUAAUACCCAUGAUGCAUUUCCACUGGCAGGCCACUCCGCUGUCCCCUGGGUUUGCCCUCGCCACUAAUCUCUGUCCUCUGCCUCGCUUUCCUCCAGCCCUCUCUCCCUCCUUCUCUCCGUCUCUCCAGUCCCCGGAGUGGAGGAUUUUUCAAACUUUGCCCUCCGUCGCUCUCUCCAUCCUCCUCACUCUGGUCACUCAGCACUCGUUGUGUCACAGGGAGCUGAAAUCUCCUCUCAAAUAGCCUUUCCCUCUUUCCACCCCUCCCUCUAUCUUCCCUCUCUGCAUGGCGCUGUGAAAAGAAAAUAUUCCAUCCUCUAUCCCUGAACUCUGUCCAUACUCAGCUGUCCCACUUUUUCUUUCGCACUUUGCUUUUCACAUUUUGUUCUCGGCCACAUUAUGUUGCUGCUGCUUUCAUCCUUCAUAUCUUUCUUACCAGCCUGGCAACUCUUUUUCUUGCUGUGGGACCUCCUGACCUUGCAGACCGUCCCCUGGACCGUCCCCUGUCUUGUCUUCAGUGUCAGAAACCUGAGCGUACACCAAACUCACCAGCUGCCUUCACCUGAAACCAGAAAUACAUGUCUGAGAGUGUGUUACUCAUUCUUACUUCCUUGCAGAUGAAGCUGGUUUGGGAAAAAAAAAGAUGGCAAACAUGAAAUCUGGAGCACCUGAAAAACAGCAUCACUGAGAAUUAUUAUAUCCUGUUUCUGUCAUGCAAAAUCUUAAGGCUGAGAUCAGAGGAGUGAACCCUCCACCUGCAUCCCCUCCUCUCUGGGAAAAGCAACCAGGCUGUAGUGCAUCUACACUUUUUUGGCUACAUGCAACCUCAAACAGAGUAUCUUUAAUGUCAUUUAUUACAACCUCAACCAGUGUCAUACUCAAGUCUGUUUGGUUUCUGUUAACUCGCCUCUUUUGCAUAAAUAACCUGCUCCGCUUGUGUGUAAUAUUGACUCUACACGAGUGCCCAAACAUUCAAAUUUAAGUAAGAGAGGAGGAGUUUCCUGCAUGUCAUCUCAGAGGCUUCUCAAAGCUGAUUGGUUGCUCUUAUAUGGAUCAGUUUACUUUUGAUAAUAGGGAUGUAAAAGUUGCAUAAGGCAAAGUCACUAAAAGAAGCUAAGCCAAGUCCAAGUCAAUUGUCCUUUACCUGGGGAUUUUAAGAAGACUCCUGGACUCCAAACUGUUAAAUGAAGUUGAACCGACUGUGUGGACCUUUUCAGUGUGUAGAAAACACAUUUAAAUUGUUUACACUCAAUUCUUCUUCACUUGAUUCUGUUGGCAUGUUUGGAGGCUUCAAGCUCCAGUCUGUAGCAUUGUGUCUUUGACAGACUCGGGGGAAUGUAAAUAUAUCAUUUAUACUUGUGAUGAAUUAGUGUUUAAAUAGCUGAAUAUUAAAAUAGUUCAGUUGUCUUAAUGUAGAAUAAAAUGUUUAUAUCAACAAAAGAGAAAAAAAUCCAAAUACAUCCAAAAUUAUUUUUUUUUAAGUGUAAAAGAUGUUGAUGAGUGGAAAAUAUGGCCUCAUGAACAUGAAAGUUUGCUAUAAAAAAAAAUAAUAAUAAAAAAUGGCGCACUGUUUUUUUUUUUCCUUUUUUUUCCUGUAAAGUAAAUAACACUAUUUCUAUCUCCGAAGUAAUCACAUUUAGAGUUUUACAUAGAAAACAAUUUUCAUGUUCUUUCCAAAAAGUUUAAUAAAACAAGAAAUAAAAAAUAAAUGAAAUAUGGUUUCAGUCUCAACUUUCACAAAAUAUGUAGCAUCUAUCAUCAUCAACGAAUACUCCUUUGUUGGAAACAUAUCAUUUAUGUACUUUUAUGACUUUGUUCGUGAUAAGCCAAGAAGAGAAAGAAGGUGAAGCAAGAUGAAAUAUUUGACAUUUUUGUUGAUGAAACAUGGAGUAUCAGACUUUCAUGUAUCACAGGAGCUUCUUGUCGUCAAAGGCUACCGUAGCUUCACUGAGGGGAGGGGUGAGCAAGGGAGCUUCACUUUAGAAGGAGACUGCCAAAUAUCAUUAAAUAUUCCCAUUUAUACUUACUGGAACUGUAUAUUAUUAGAUUUUUCCUCCAAUCAGAUUAGCAGUUCUUCUGCCCUUUUUGUUAACACUCUCCCUUUAAUCAUCUCUCACUGUAAUUUCAGUGUUUUACAACUUUAAGCUGAAAGUUUAAACUGUGAACCAAAUAUAAUAAUUAGAGAAAUAUGUUUCAGUCUGGAAGUCUGUAAAGUUUAUUUGAUCAAUGCAAAAUAAAGAGGUGAGUUAAGGAAUCACACUUUAUUUAUUUAUUAUUUUCUAUAGAUGACCAAGCGUUUUAUUUAUUUUUUAAUUUCUGCAGCUCUCACAGUGGUUUGUGUUCCACUGCUCAGAUAUCCACUCUCAAAGGGAAACACAUCGCAUGCAAUCAUCCUCCUCUACCUGCAGCUCUUCCUGAACCAGGACAGAACCAUGAAGAAUGAAAUCAGGGCAAAGGGGAAAACUCAUAAACUUCUCCACACACACACAUACACACACCUCCUCCUCCUCCUCUCGUUCAUCAUGUUGCGAGAGAGGAAAAUCGAAUCAUGUGCACCCCGCGAUCGACUGCCAAUGAGCUUAUGUCCGCCCUGAAAUAUUCACUCCUGACAAGACCUCAUCUGUUUCCCAUUUUCAGACUGUGGAAAUAUUUCUCUUCAUGCUGCUCACUUAUAUACUAAUGUGUUUCCAUCACUGCUGCAGGCCCGCUCAUGCAGCACACACAAACACACACACAAUCACACACACACACUCACACUUGGCUUAAUUCAAUAGAAAGUCAUCUGGUAAGAGCCAAGGUUCUGGCUGCUUUAUCUCCGCGCUCUGAUGUAAACUUAUGUGUGUCGGUGCAGAAAGGAGGAGGAAUCUGGCACGAGUUGUUUUCUGCUUUAACUGUGCGAGGAGCUUAAUGCAGCAAACACAUUAGAGAUGGAACACCUCUUGUGUCAUGAAAUAAUAUUUGCAUAAUUAUGUUAAAAUGGAGCCUUGCUGUGUGGUGAAAAAGGGAGAUUUUCAGACUCGUAGUUGUGCAUACACACUCACACGGUUUGCUGAGCAGCUGUUAACACUACUUUGAUUCAAACACACACACAUUCAUGCAUGUGUGUGUGUUUUGUGUCCUGCUUCACAUUUGUGCUCUGGGCUUUAAAAGGAGCGCCGUCUCAGGGCAGCCCAGCUCCACGCAACACGGCAGCGCUUCCUGUUUGAUCUGUGUGUCUGAGAUCAGUUUAUCACAACAUCUCCUCCCUCCCCCUGCAGGGCUGAGACGGCUCCAGAGCAGACUUCAUGACUGGCAGGAAUGUGUACGACUCUAACAGCUACAAACGCUGAUAUAGAAGGGGAUCCAUGUCUUCUGCAGCAUAUCAACCCUUUAGGAAAGUCCAGCAUAUCUCAACAACCCCUGGCUAUGUCUGCGAGAUAACAGAUUUGACAGGAUACCAAGCUGUUAUUGCCGAGAAGAGUUUCAGCUCAGUUUUCUCCAAAACUACAG